UCUUAGAAGGCGAAGACCCAGAUCUGUUAUUCUUUGAUCCCUGCCGCCUCGACAAAAUUUUUAAGACCAAGAGGAUUGUUGUCAGCUUGGACCUAGCAAGAUAUGUCGUAGUAAUCAUUAAGCAAUCACAUUGGUAAGCAACACUGGAGGGCACAGUAGAACCAAAUAUAUACAUGUUGACCAUAUCUUAAUCAUGAUAGAUCCAGUUUUUUGAAAAUAUAAACAACCAAGCUUCUAUCAAGCCUAAACCCACUACUGGAAGCAAAGUAAAUUUCCUUAUAUACAGUGACUCUACCGGCAGUUUGGUUUGUUUGCCUGUGUGGGUGUUGACUUGCUUCAGAAGUCAUAGAUACAAAUAGAAGCAUAAUAUGUGGUUUUAGAAAAUAUAUCAAGUUCUAAAGAUAAAUAAAACUACUUUCAGUAUAUAUAUAGUAGAUGCCAUUGCAGAUAGCACUCCAAUACUAACAUUAUAAAAGGUAAUCUGGUUUUGGUCACACCAUCAAAAAAUUAGAUAAACACCAGAUGGCAAACAAAAUACAUGUUAAGCCUCCAUCCUUGUGAUUAUUGUUUUUCUUGUUCCAGAGCUCCUGUACAAAUGAUUUACAUGGUGAUCCGGAAAAAGUUGAAGCAAGCAUAUAAAUAGUGACCCUCCUAGUGAGUGAACAUAAUGUAAAAAAAAACUCAUUUUCAUUUAGUGCAAACUAUGAUUCAAUCUUUCUUCUUUUUCCAACAAAAAUGUUAAUAUUCAGAAGGUAGUUGGAGACAGGGCUACACCUUAUGAAGGUUUUAAUCUUACGGUUCAAUGAAUUGCAUAGGCAGAGCACACAGUCGAUGGAUUCAAACUAUUUUUAAGAGAUGAUGUGGCAAGGCUAAGAAGAUGAAAAAUAAUUAAGAAGAAAAGUUCAUGCUCAACAACUUACGAAGAUUUAACUGGGUAGUGCCUCAUGGCAGUCAUCAACCUUUGAGCCGUAGAACCGUAAGAUCAAACUGAGACUCAAGCCUGCAUAACCAUAUGAAGAAAAGGAUCAUCAACAAAGAGGACAAAGUGAAUCAGGAACCAGUUCCUGGUUCCUCUAAAAAAUCAUUCUAAAUGACAAACUGUGAGAAGAAAAAAGAACUGGUCUAAUGACAUAGAUG
rnacentral:lncRNA from 1 species